GGGGAAUAUUGCGCAAUGGGGGGAACCCUGACGCAGCCAUGCCGCGUGAAUGAAGAAGGCCUUAGGGUCGUAAAGUUCUUUCGGUAUUGAGGAAGGUUGAUGUGUUAAUAGCACAUCAAAUUGACGUUAAAUACAGAAGAAGCACCGGCUAACUCCGUGCCAGCAGCCGCGGUAAUACGGAGGGUGCGAGCGUUAAUCGGAAUAACUGGGCGUAAGGGCACGCAGGCGGUUAUUUAAGUGAGGUGUGAAAGCCCUGGGCUUAACCUAGGAAUUGCAUUUCAGACUGGGUAACUAGAGUACUUUAGGGAGGGGUAGAAUUCCACGUGUAGCGGUGAAAUGCGUAGAGAUGUGGAGGAAUACCGAAGGCGAAGGCAGCCCCUUGGGAAUGUACUGACGCUCAUGUGCGAAAGCGUGGGGAGCAAACAGGAUUAGAUACCCUGGUAGUCCACGCUGUAAACGCUGUCGAUUUGGGGGUUGGGGUUUAACUCUGGCGCCCGUAGCUAACGUGAUAAAUCGACCGCCUGGGGAGUACGGCCGCAAGGUUA
rnacentral:rRNA from 1 species